rnacentral:rRNA from 1 species
AUGGCAGAAUUAAUAUGGAUUCAAACCUUGCUGAAUGAGGUUCAUGUAAAUCACUCUCCUGCUGCCCGUUUGUUGUGUGACAAUAUUGGUGUCACUUAUCUUUCAGCAAAUCUAGUGUUCCAUGCAAGAACAAAGCACAUUGAGGUGGAUUAUCAUUUUGUGCAUGAAAGGCUAGCUAAGAAGCUACUUGAUAUUCGGUUCAUUCCCACAAAUGACCAAGUUGCAGACGGGUUCACUAAAGCCCUAUCUUGGCAAAAAUUAGAAGAAUUCAAGAACAAUCUCAACUUGGUGAAGUUAUGA